GAUGAAGAACGCAGCGAAAUGCGAUACGUAAUGUGAAUUGCAGAAUUCAGUGAAUCAUCGAGUCCUUGAACGCACAUUGCGCCCCCUGGUAUUCCGGGGGGCAUGCCUGUCCGAGCGUCAUUGCUGCCCUCAAGCACGGCUUGUGUGUUGGGCCUCCGUCCUCCUCCCGGGGGACGGGCCCGAAAGGCAGCGGCGGCACCGCGUCCGGUCCUCGAGCGUAUGGGGCUUCGUCACCCGCUCUUGUAGGCCCGGCCGGCGCUUGCCGACACAUCAAUCUUUUUUCCAGGUUGACCUCGGAUCAGGUAGGGAUACCCGCUGAACAUAAGCAUAUCAAUAAGCGGAGGA
rnacentral:misc_RNA from 1 species